rnacentral:rRNA from 1 species
AUUGAACGCUGGCGGCAGGCCUAACACAUGCAAGUCGAACGGGUGGCGGACGGGAGAGUAAUGCAUCGGACUCUUGGUGAGGGAGGGGGUUAACUAAGGGGAACUGAAGCCACUACCGCGUACCAUAGGAUGGGCCGAAGUGGGAUUAGGUAGUUGGUGAGGUAAAGGCACACCAAGCCGACGAUCUCUAGCUGGUCUGAGAGGAUGACCAGCCACACUGGAACUGAGACACGGUCCAGACUCCUACGGGAGGCAGCAGUGGGGAAUAUUGCGCAAUGGGGGCAACCUGACGCAGCCAUGCCGCGUGAAUGAAGAAGGCCUUCGGGUUGUAAAGUUCUUUCAGUAGCGAGGCGUUAACUACAGAAGAAGCACCGGCUAACUCCGUGCCAGCAGCCGCGGUAAUAC